rnacentral:rRNA from 1 species
ACUGGAAUCAUAAGUGUGUCACUUAUGAAUAUGUAAAGAAAAAUGAUGAUGUCAUUUACUAAUAGUGUUGUCCAAAUACUGGUGCCAGAAGACUCGGUAAGGCCAGAAACACAAGCGUUAAUCAUCCUGAUCAGGCUUAAAGGGUUUGUAGGCAGCUUUAAAAUAAUUAAAGAUAGAAUCAUAUAGAGGUCACUUUACAGAUAAUUCUAAGAGGAGGGUUGAUAUCUAUAGAUACUUAGAGGAAUACUAAAUAGCGAAGGCACUUUUCCAAUUAAUGAUUGACGCUGAGAUACGAAGGUGAGGAAAGACAAUAGGAUUAGAUACCCUGGCAUCCCUCUCUGUAAACGAUGAAUGGUAGUUGCUAGUUUCUAUAAUUAGUGGCGAUGCUAACGCGUUAACCAUUCCGCCUUGUGAGUACGAUUGCAAAAUUGAAAACAAAAAAAUUAGUCGGUUUCGGAGUAAACGAAGUGAAGCAUGUUAUUUAAUUCGAUAAUCCGC